ACCUAAUGAUAUGGGCAUUUACGGAGCAGGUCCUGAAAGCGCUCCCAAGUAUCAAAGAAAACUUCCCCAUCUAUUUGUGCAAAACUUAUUAUUUCCCUUUGCAGCU